rnacentral:rRNA from 1 species
UGGGGAAUAUUGCACAAUGGAGGGAACUCUGAUGCAGCGACGCCGCGUGAACGAAGAAGGCUUUCGAGUCGUAAAGUUCUUUUAUAUGGGAAGAUAAUGACGGUACCAUAAGAAAAAGCCCCGGCUAACUACGUUCCAGCAGCCGCGGUAAUACGUAGGGGGCUAGCGUUGUCCGGAAUCACUGGGCGUAAAGGGUUCGCAGGCGGAAAUGCAAGUCAGGUGUAAAAGGCAGUAGCUUAACUACUGUAAGCAUUUGAAACUGCAGAUCUUGAGAAGAGGAGAGGUAAGUGGAAUUUUUAGUGUAGCGGUGAAAUGCGUAGAGAUUAAAAAGAAUACCGGUGGCGAAGGCGACUUACUGGGCUCAUUCUGACGCUGAGGAACGAAAGCGUGGGUAGCAAACAGG